rnacentral:rRNA from 1 species
UUAUGACGUACUUGUACUGAUUGAAAUUUUAACACGAAGUGAGUGGCGAACGGGUGAGUAACACGUGGGUAACCUGCCCAGAAGUAGGGGAUAACACCUGGAAACAGAUGCUAAUACCGUAUAACAGAGAAAACCGCAUGGUUUUCUUUUAAAAGAUGGCUCUGCUAUCACUUCUGGAUGGACCCGCGGCGUAUUACCUAGUUGGUGAGGUAAAGGCUCACCAAGGCAGUGAUACGUAGCCGACCUGAGAGGGUAAUCGGCCACAUUGGGACUGAGACACGGCCCAGACUCCUACGGGAGGCAGCAGUAGGGAAUCUUCCACAAUGGACGCAAGUCUGAUGGAGCAACGCCGCGUGAGUGAAGAAGGGUUUCGGCUCGUAAAGCUCUGUUGUUAAAGAAGAACGUGGGUAAGAGUAACUGUUUACCCAGUGACGGUAUUUAACCAGAAAGCCACGGCUAACUACGUGCCAGCAGCCGCGGUAAUACGUAGGUGGCAAGCGUUAUCCGGAUUUAUUGGGCGUAAAGCGAGCGCAGGCGGUCUUUUAAGUCUAAUGUGAAAAGCCUUCGGCUCAACCGAAGAAGUGCAUUGGAAACUGGGAGACUUGAGUGCAGAAGAGGACAGUGGAACUCCAUG